rnacentral:rRNA from 1 species
AGAGUUUGAUCAUGGCUCAGGACGAACGCUGGCGGCGUGCUUAACACAUGCAAGUCGAACGGAGAGGCCCUUCGGGGUACUCGAGUGGCGAACGGGUGAGUAACACGUGGGUGAUCUGCCCUGCACUUUGGGAUAAGCCUGGGAAACUGGGUCUAAUACCGAAUAUGACCAUGCGCCUCCUGGUGUGUGGUGGAAAGCUUUUGCGGUGUGGGAUGGGCCCGCGGCCUAUCAGCUUGUUGGUGGGGUAAUGGCCUACCAAGGCGACGACGGGUAGCCGGCCUGAGAGGGUGACCGGCCACACUGGGACUGAGAUACAGCCCAGGCUCCUACGGGAGGCAGCAGUGGGGAAUAUUGCACAAUGGGCGCAAGCCUGAUGCAGCGACGCCGCGUGAGGGAUGACGGCCUUCGGGUUGUAAACCUCUUUCAGCACAGACGAAGCGCAAGUGACGGUAUGUGCAGAAGAAGGACCGGCCAACUACGUGCCAGCAGCCGCGGUAAUACGUAGGGUCCGAGCGUUGUCCGGAAUUACUGGGCGUAAAGAGCUCGUAGGUGGUUUGUCGCGUUGUUCGUGAAAACUCACAGCUUAACUGUGGGCGUGCGGGCGAUACGGGCAGACUUGAGUACUGCAGGGGAGACUGGAAUUCCUGGUGUAGCGGUGGAAUGCGCAGAUAUCAGGAGGAACACCGGUGGCGAAGGCGGGUCUCUGGGCAGUAACUGACGCUGAGGAGCGAAAGCGUGGGGAGCGAACAGGAUUAGAUACCCUGGUAGUCC